GUAGGCGGCAAGCGUUGUCCGGAAUUAUUGGGCGUAAAGCGCGCGCAGGCGGUUCUUUAAGUCUGAUGUGAAAGCCCACGGCUCAACCGUGGAGGGUCAUUGGAAACUGGAGAACUUGAGUACAGAAGAGGAAAGCGGAAUUCCACGUGUAGCGGUGAAAUGCGUAGAGAUGUGGAGGAACACCAGUGGCGAAGGCGGCUUUCUGGUCUGUAACUGACGCUGAGGCGCGAAAGCGUGGGGAGCAAACAGGGAUUAGAUACCCUGGUAGUCCACGCCGUAAACGAUGAGUGCUAAGUGUUAGGGGGUUUCCGCCCCCUUAGUGCUGCAGCUAACGCAUUAAGCACUCCGCCUGGGGAUACGGCCGCAAGGCUG
rnacentral:rRNA from 1 species